rnacentral:rRNA from 1 species
UACGUAGGGGGCAAGCGUUGUCCGGAAUUAUUGGGCGUGAAGAGCGUGUAGGCGGCCAGAUAAGUCCGCUGUGAAAUCUCGAGGCUCAACUUCGAGCUGUCGGUGGAAACUAUCUGGCUAGAGUCCGGAAGAGGAGAAUGGAAUUCCUGGUGUAGCGGUGAAAUGCGCAGAUAUCAGGAAGAACACCCGUGGCGAAGGCGGUUCUCUGGGACGGUACUGACGCUGAGACGCGAAAGCGUGGGGAGCAAACAGG